UUGGUUAUCUGUCUGAAUUACAUCUCAUAAAAAACAGCAUCACAGGUUUAAUGAUGCCCUGAAUGAUCACAUGUCUAAUAUGAAUAUGUAUAUAUAUUUUAACACAUUUUUGAGUGGGAUUUUGAUUGGUCCUUUAACAGCUCUAUCCUGUCUCUCUUUCCACAGCUGAUUAAUCAAUAAAGUGUCUGUGAGGCACAUCGGGGAACUCAACAAGUCUGGGCUUGUCUUCAUGUCACCUGGUGUCUAACUGUCAUUGUUGGAGGAUAGACCACCGAAUCCAGGAGACAUUAAAUAAUCAGCGCGAUAGUGCAAGCUGCUGCACACCGAGGCUGCUUGUAUAACGGGGAUUCACCUCAGCUGAACUUGACGCAUCUGGUUCAUCGGCGGCGCAGGACGCGCACAGCGCAGUCAGCAGCCUCUGUGUCCCCGCUGAACCGAGCUGGAAGGCGGCGGAGUGAAAG